GGUGGCUCAGUGGGAGAGCACUUGCCUUGCAUGCAUGAGGCCCUGGGUUCAAUUCCUCAGCACCA
rfam:Dipodomys ordii contig_59091, whole genome shotgun sequence.